rnacentral:rRNA from 1 species
CACGUAGGCACCAAGCGUUGUCCGGAUUUAUUGGGCGUAAAGAGCUCGUAGGCGGUGUGUCACGUCGGCCGUGAAAACCUGCAGCUUAACUGUGGGCGUGCGGUCGAUACGGGCAUCACUGGAGUUCGGCAGGGGAGACUGGAAUUCCUGGUGUAGCGGUGAAAUGCGUAGAUAUCUGGAGGAACACCGGUGGCGAAGGCGGCAUCCUGGACCAACACUGACGCUGAGUGAGCGAAAGCCAGGGGAGCAAACGGG